rnacentral:rRNA from 1 species
GACGAACGCUGGCGGCGUGCUUAACACAUGCAAGUCGAACGGAAAGGCCCUGCUUUUGUGGGGUGCUCGAGUGGCGAACGGGUGAGUAACACGUGAGUAACCUGCCCUUGACUUUGGGAUAACUUCAGGAAACUGGGGCUAAUACCGGAUAGGAGCUCCUGCUGCAUGGUGGGGGUUGGAAAGUUUCGGCGGUUGGGGAUGGACUCGCGGCUUAUCAGCUUGUUGGUGGGGUAGUGGCUUACCAAGGCUUUGACGGGUAGCCGGCCUGAGAGGGUGACCGGCAAAAUUGGGAGAGAGAAACGGCCCACAUCCCCACGGGAGGCAGGAGUGGGGAUGUUUGAAAAAGGGGGGGAAGCCUGAGCCAGCCGCCCCGUGGGGGGGAGGGCGGCUUUGGGUUGUAAACCCUGUUCCGCCUGGGAAGAGGGGGGAUUGGCGUAAAGGGGUAGAGGGACACGGUGAAACUCGGCA